CGCGGGAUCCUACGGCGCAUGCUCCUAGCGGGACCACGACACGUCACGAUGACGUGUCGCGCGUGUCACGUGACUAAGUUGCUCGUGUGUCUGUGUUUCCGCGCGGCAGAUUGCCACAGCGCGGCGCAUGACGAAGUGGUUAUGGUCCGGCGGGGUGAUUAGUUCUGGCCGACACGUGGGACCCCGAUUUCCUCCUCCGUCCAUUGCUAUAUAAGCUGGCGAAGAUAAUGCAAGGAAGAGGAGAGCCGACUCAACGUAAGAAGAUUCUGCCACCAAUCGCCUCACGGCCAAUGGACCUCACGUCCACCAGCCAGUAGGUUGCCGUACCGCCUUCCGGGUUCCAGCCGUCUGUCCGUCAUCAUGCUUUCAUCGUGGCCGCCCAGUUACGGACUCUGCGGUACCGUCCGGAGACGCCAUUCACUGCUCGAUCCGAAGGAUCCCAGCCGCCGUCUACCUCGUCAUCCGCGGCCCGGUCUCAACCAGGAAGGCACCAUCGCCAGGAAAAGCCACGCAUACGUUGAGAACGUUGACAUCAUCACCGCACAAGGGGUCCUCAUUAGGCUAAGGCUAUCAUUCUUUCGGUUCUGACCACGUUAGUGCAGCGAUCGUAUUGCUAUACCGCGCGUUGAUUAUGGUCUUACCUCUGUGAGCACUGCAUUAAAUAUAUGUUGACCUGUU